rnacentral:rRNA from 1 species
GACGAACCGUGCGAACGUUGUUCGGAAUCACUGGGCUUAAAGGGCGCGUAGGCGGGUCGUCAAGUCAGGGGUGAAAUCCUGCGGCUCAACCGCAGAAGUGCCUUUGAUACUGGCGGCCUCGAGGGAGGUAGGGGCGUGUGGAACUUCCGGUGGAGCGGUGAAAUGCGUAGAUAUCGGAAGGAACGCCGGUGGCGAAAGCGACGCGCUGGACCUCUUCUGACGCUGAAGCGCGAAAGCCAGGGGAGCAAACGGG